rnacentral:lncRNA from 1 species
GGGCCCAACAACGUUAAGAAAAAAAUACUUGUUUGUUUGAUUUGAUCUGUUCCUAUUUGUCCUAAUAUCUACAAACAGACCUAGCUCCAAAUCUUUACUUUGCUAGUAAAUAAUCAUGUGACAAGUCCCCAAAUCUUAGUUUUCUCAUCUAGAAAAUGAAGAUAGUGAUAGAGGACCAACUAGACUAAGGAUUGAAAGUUGUUUGGAAUGGUCAUCGAGGCAUAGGAACUGUUGAAUGAAUGUUAGUUCCCAACCUCCCUUGCAACAACGACAUUAACGAGCAUUUAUUAAGAGCUUGUUCUGCUGGCACUGUGCUACGCGGCUUAUUGUGAUUGCCUCUCUUAAUCCUCUCCAUAACUCUGUUAGAAGAGAGCAUCAUUGUUCCCAUUUCGCAGAUGAGGAAAUGGAGCCUCAGAGAGAUUAAAACACUUGCCUGAUGUCAUGCACAGGUGGAGCCAAGCUUCUGCACCCUUGAUUAAAAUCUGUCACACAUUGUUCUCUACUGUUUCCUAUGUCUUAUCUAACCACUCAGGCCAGUUAAGAACAUCAUCUUGGGCUUCAUUUGAAUCCUGCAACAUGCCUGGCAGGGGCCUGGACUGAUGCUUGGCUGCUAACCGGCCCAUCAAUUUUGACAAACUUUAAUAAAAACAUUGAAAGUUUCUUCAAUCCUGAUUGUUGACUUCAACAUUCGCUCCUCAACAGGGGUCUUGAAAACAAACCCAGGAGCACGCCAUCUGUUUUUGAUUAAGUGCGUAGCUGGCAGAGGACUUCAGAUCUGGAAGAGUUGAGGAGCACCAUGCUCUUGGGCAAAGAGAGAGGAGGGAAGAGACCUUGUGACGUCACUCAUGGAGGCGUGGCCCUGCUGGCUUGACAGUUGGUCACUACCAGACUUGGCUAUCACCCAGACCCCCUCAAAGCAGAUCAAGCUUUCGGCUCUGGCAAGGACAGAAAACAAGUGUCUGAGGGUCAGAGAGCAGCCAGCUUGUGACCCAGGCAGCACCAAGGUGGAUAUGGGCCUUCUUGGUCAACCGUGCGGCCCUCGUCCCUGCUCACACACAGACACGGCCUGCCACCAUCAACUUCCUUCGGCCUCAUACCGAGAUUAAAAGGCACAAUAAAGUAUAUGUACAAGACUUCA